UUUUUUCCCUUGCCCUCUUCUCUUCUUCUUUCUCUGCCUUUCGCAGGGCCAGUAAACGUUUUCUUUCAUUUUCUUCCUCAAUUCGUUUAGCUUCUAGGAUUUCCUUGCCAAUUCGAAUUCUCUCCUUUUCCCUCUCUCUUUCCAUUCUCUUCUCUUCCUCUUCCUUCUUCUUGCGAGCACGCUCCUUUAGCUCUUGUGCUUUGAGAUUCAUUUCUUCUGGUGUAAGAGUAGGUUUAGGAGCCUCAACUUUGGUGUUAGCAGAUAUCAAGGGCAUUUCAUCUAUGUCUGGGUCAUUCUCAUGCUCAACUACCCAAUUUACAGCAGCUUCAACACUGGCAUUACCAGAAUAAUGAAUUGCUCGGGUUGCCCGUGCCUUAGGGAAACCCAUUCCUUCCAGUUCCUCAAGGAGCUUUUGGUCAACCUC
rnacentral:misc_RNA from 1 species